GAUGAACGCUGGCGGCGUGCUUAACACAUGCAAGUCGAACGAAGAUAUUUAGAAUGAGAGCUUCGGCAGGAUUUCUUUCCAUCUUAGUGGCGGACGGGUGAGUAACGUGUGGGCAACCUGCCCUGUACUGGGGAAUAAUCAUUGGAAACGAUGACUAAUACCGCAUGUGGUCCUCGGAAGGCAUCUUCUGAGGAAGAAAGGAUUUAUUCGGUACAGGAUGGGCCCGCAUCUGAUUAGCUAGUUGGUGAGAUAACAGCCCACCAAGGCGACGAUCAGUAGCCGACCUGAGAGGGUGAUCGGCCACAUUGGGACUGAGACACGGCCCAAACUCCUACGGGAGGCAGCAGUGGGGAAUAUUGCACAAUGGGCGAAAGCCUGAUGCAGCAACGCCGCGUGAAGGAUGAAGGGUUUCGGCUCGUAAACUUCUAUCAAUAGGGAAGAAACAAAUGACGGUACCUAAAUAAGAAGCCCCGGCUAACUACGUGCCAGCAGCCGCGGUAAUACGUAGGGGGCAAGCGUUAUCCGGAAUUACUGGGUGUAAAGGGAGCGUAGGCGGCAUGGUAAGCCAGAUGUGAAAGCCUUGGGCUUAACCCGAGGAUUGCAUUUGGAACUAUCAAGCUAGAGUACAGGAGAGGAAAGCGGAAUUCCUAGUGUAGCGGUGAAAUGCGUAGAUAUUAGGAAGAACACCAGUGGCGAAGGCGGCUUUCUGGACUGAAACUGACGCUGAGGCUCGAAAGCGUGNGGAGCANACAGG
rnacentral:rRNA from 1 species